rnacentral:rRNA from 1 species
GUGGGGAAUAUUGGACAAUGGGCGAAAGCCUGAUCCAGCCAUGCCGCGUGUGUGAAGAAGGUCUUCGGAUUGUAAAGCACUUUAAGUUGGGAGGAAGGGUAGUAACCUAAUACGUUGCUACUUUGACGUUACCGACAGAAUAAGCACCGGCUAACUUCGUGCCAGCAGCCGCGGUAAUACGAAGGGUGCAAGCGUUAAUCGGAAUUACUGGGCGUAAAGCGCGCGUAGGUGGUUUUGUAAGUUGGAGGUGAAAUCCCCGGGCUCAACCUGGGAACUGCCUCCAAAACUGCAUGACUAGAGUACGGUAGAGGGUAGUGGAAUUUCCUGUGUAGCGGUGAAAUGCGUAGAUAUAGGAAGGAACACCAGUGGCGAAGGCGACCACCUGGACUGAUACUGACACUGAGGUGCGAAAGCGUGGGGAGCAAACAGGAUUAGAUACCCUUGUAGUCC